UACGGAGGGUGCGAGCGUUGUCCGGAAUCAUUGGGCGUAAAGGGCGCGUAGGUGGCGGGACAAGCGUGUGGUGAAAGCGCGGGGCUCAACUCCGCGUCGGCCAUUGAUACUGCUGGGCUUGAGCACUGUAGAGGCAGGCGGAAUUCCGGGUGUAGCGGUGAAAUGCGCAGAUAUCAGGAGGAACACCGGUGGCGAAGGCGGGUCUCUGGGCCGAUACUGACGCUGAGGUGCGAAAGCGUGGGGAGCAAACAGG
rnacentral:rRNA from 1 species